rnacentral:rRNA from 1 species
GGAGGCUACUGCUAUUGGGGUUCGAUUAAGCCAUGCAAGUUGAACGAUUCUUCGGAAUCGUGGCGAACGGCUCAGUAACACGUGGAUAACCUACCCUUAGGACCGGUAUAACCCUGGGAAACUGGGGACAACCCCGGAUAGGUGAUUUUUUCUGUAAUGAUUUUUCAUUUAAAUGCUCCGGCGCCUGAGGAUGGGUCUGCGGCAGAUUAGGUAGUUGGUAGGGUAAUGGCCUACCAAGCCGGUGAUCUGUACGGGUUGUGAGAGCAAGAGCCCGGAGAUGGAACCUGAGACAAGGUUCCAGGCCCUACGGGGCGCAGCAGGCGCGAAACCUCCGCAAUGCGAGAAAUCGCGACGGGGGGAGGGGGACCCCAAGUGCCACUCUUAACGGGGUGGCUUUUCUUGAGUGUAAAAAGCUUUUGGAAUAAGGGCUGGGCAAGACCGGUGCCAGCCGCCGCGGUAACACCGGCAGCUCUAGUGGUAGCCAUUUUUAUUGGGCCUAAAGCGUUCGUAGCCGGUUUGAUAAGUCUCUGGUGAAAUCCUGUAGCUUAACUGUGGGAAUUGCUGGAGAUACUAUUAGACUUGAGGUCGGGAGAGGUUAGCGGUACUCCCAGGGUAGGGGUGAAAUCCUGUAGUCCUGGGAGGACCACCUGUGGCGAAGGCGGCUAACUGGAACGAACCUGACGGUGAGGGACGAAAGCCAGGGGCGCGAACCGGAUUAGAUACCCGGGUAGUCCUGGCCGUAAACGAU